rnacentral:rRNA from 1 species
AGAGUUUGAUCAUGGCUCAGGACGAACGCUGGCGGCGUGCUUAACACAUGCAAGUCGAGCGGAGACAAUUGACUUCGGUUGAUUGUUUUAGCGGCGGACGGGUGAGUAACGCGUGAGCAAUCUGUCCCAGACAGGGGGAUAACACUUGGAAACAGGUGCUAAUACCGCAUAAGACCACGAGAUCACAUGGUUUCGAGGUAAAAGGAGGAAUCCGGUUUGGGGUGAGCUCGCGUCCGAUUAGCUGGUUGGUGAGGUAACGGCCCACCAAGGCGACGAUCGGUAGCCGACCUGAGAGGGUGAUCGGCCACAUUGGAACUGAGAAACGGUCCAAACUCCUACGGGAGGCAGCAGUGGGGAAUAUUGGGCAAUGGGCGAAAGCCUGACCCAGCAACGCCGCGUGAGGGAAGAAGGUUUUCGGAUUGUAAACCUCUGUCCUCAGGGACGAAGGAAGUGACGGUACCUGAGGAGGAAGCCCCGGCUAACUACGUGCCAGCAGCCGCGGUAAUACGUAGGGGGCAAGCGUUGUCCGGAAUGACUGGGCGUAAAGGGCGUGUAGGCGGCCUGAUAAGUAUGAAGUGAAAGUCCUGCUUUCAAGGUGGGAAUUGCUUUGUAGACUGUCGGGCUUGAGUGCGGAAGAGGUAAGUGGAAUUCCCAGUGUAGCGGUGAAAUGCGUAGAGAUUGGGAGGAACACCAGUGGCGAAGGCGACUUACUGGGCCGUAACUGACGCUGAGGCGCGAAAGCGUGGGGAGCGAACAGGAUUAGAUACCCUGGUAGUCCACGCUGUAAACGAUGAAUGCUAGGUGUAGGGGGUAUCGACCCCUCCUGUGCCGGAGU